GAUGAAGAACGUAGCAAAAUGCGAUAAGUAAUGUGAAUUGCAGAAUUCAGUGAAUCAUCGAAUCUUUGAACGCACAUUGCGCCCGCCAGUAUUCUGGCGAGCAUGCCUGUUCGAGCGUCAUUUCAACCCUCAAGCACAGCUUGGUGUUGGGACUCGCGUUAAUUCGCGUUCCUCAAAUUGAUUGGCGGUCACGUCGAGCUUCCAUAGCGUAGUAGUAAAACCCUCGUUACUGGUAAUCGUCGCGGCCACGCCGUUAAACCCCAACUUCUGAAUGUUGACCUCGGAUCAGGUAGGAAUACCCGCUGAACUUAAGCAUAUCAAUAAGCGGAGGA
rnacentral:misc_RNA from 1 species